CGCGCCAUCGUCCAGGUCUCCUACGCCAUCGGUGUGCCUGAGCCUCUCUCCGUCUUUGUUGACACGUAUGGCACCGGCACGAUUCCUGACAAGGAGAUCCUCAAGAUUGUGAAGGAGAACUUUGACUUCAGGCCUGGCAUGAUCAUCAUCAACCUCGACCUCAAGAAAGGUGGCAACGGGCGCUACCUCAAGACGGCGGCCUACGGCCACUUUGGAAGGGACGACCCUGACUUCACCUGGGAGGUGGUGAAGCCCCUCAAGGCGGAGAAGCCUUCUGCCUAAGGCACCCUCACUUUUUCAGAAGAAGCUUUUGGUCUGCUGCGCUUUAUCAUGUUUUAUCUGGCUUCUAUAUGUUGUGAUUCUUGAUCUGCCCCUUGCUUAUCAUUUGUACUUGUACUGUCCUAAUAAGUGGUACUUGUGAGGGUCUUAUUGUGUCUGCUUAUUUACCUAGAGGAUUAUUUCUGGUUUUA
rnacentral:lncRNA from 1 species